rnacentral:lncRNA from 1 species
GUAAAUAUUACGUGGAUGGUCCACAUGAAUAGUUUGUUACUAUUUAUGCACAGUAUUUUCACUAUUCAUUUGUGGAAAAUUUGUAAAGUGAAUAGUGCUUUCUUUUGUUUAUAUAAAGAAAGAAGAGGGGAUGAAUGAAGAGAGGUUCACGGGAGAGAAAGGAAGGAAAAGAAGAGAGAAGAGAGAGAGAGGAAAGAAGAGGAAGAGAGGAAGAAGAGAAAAUGAGGGGGAGAUUAAAGAGAGUUAUCUUUGUACUCCUAUUAUUUUAGAUUAUAAUGAAAGCACCACUGCUGCCCGAGGACGUACUCCAGUCACACUGACUGUAGAGGAACCUCGUAAAUUUUGUGUCUUGUUUCAUUUAUUCCGCUGCACCCACCGUCGAUUUUACAACACGUUAUCAGCACGAGAAGCUCUUAUGUCAGUGGAAAGCACAACGCCACAAAUCAUGUUCACCUCCUUCAACUGGAAUCUCACAGAUAAGAAACAAUUUUCAUUUCAUCUUCAAAUCUCAGUACAAUUGAUUUUCUUGAAGCAACUAUAUAUAUUGUUGUAUGACUGUAUAUCAUCCUUUGCAGAAGCAAAAGAGUACAUACUCAAAAUUCGUAAAGAAUUUGACAGCAAUGUAAACAGCCUCUGAACUCCAACUUGCGGACCUCGGAUUAAAAUACUUUCUUCUUGAAAGUUGUUCGUCCACUCAAUAUCUACAACAUAUCAAAAUUUCAGAAAACUUUAACGGUGCGAUCGUUGCAGAUGUCUGAAAUACUAAACCAGUUUCCAAUUUCCGCAGAAAACUGGACAGCCACCUUAUGAGUACCAUAACUCUAUUUCUGUAGCUCAAAUCGAAAUUGUUUCUUCACGAAAGUUGUUUGGUAUCCUCUUAUCCAUAUCAUACUAAAAUUUGAACUAAAUCUAACGGUUUGAUCUUCUCAUAAGUUGCAGACACUUUUGACUCCAAAACUUAUGGGAACCGUUUCGACUUUUUCGAAACUCACCGGAGGAGGAACACCAAUUGGAACUUAUUGUUACUUUUACUUCCUGAGUAACUAAAAGGACUUGUUGUUGUGAAAUGAAAACAUUAAUAAAAUAAGGACAAUUUGGAUGGGUGCCCCGACAGAAGUGAAGGGAAGAAAUAAUAAAAAAUAAUAAUAAAGUUGAUAGUGGGAAGUUGAUGAGAACAUCACCAUUAUGAAAAGAAAUAAUAAAAUUAUAUAUUUAUUUAUGUGCAUGGUGUUGGUUUAAAGCCCAUGUCACAAGUUCUAUUUAUUUAAAGCAAUUUAUUUAUAGUGGGUAGAAUUAUUACCCUUUGCUUUAAAGCUUUGAUAUUUAUGUGAAUGGUGCUGAAUCAAAGCCCUUGUCACAAGCUUUAUUUACUUUAAAGCAAUUUAUUUACCAUGGACGGUUUUACCGCCUAUUGCUUUAAGUUUUGAUGGUGCUGAAUUAAAGCCCUUGUCACAAGCUUUAUUUACUUAAAUGCAAUUUUUAUUCAUUAUGGCUGGAAUUACCGUCUAUUGCUUUAAUUUAUUUAUUGUACUUAUCUUUUGUUACAAUGAGUAUAACAAGGACCUAGAGUUCCUUGAUUAGAUCAGAACCUGCAGUUUCUUGAUCCUCAUCAUAUAAAAUGAUAGGACCCGAAGUUCCAUCAUACAAAAAGAUCAGGCAUGAAGUCCUUUGAUCCUGAAGAUCAGGACAUGAAAUUCCUUGAUGAGUACCGUAAGUUUAAAGUGCCGCAGUGCCUCAACUUAACCAUAAUAAAGGACAUAAGAGUCUCGGUUAACAGACUAUUAAACAAGGACCAGAAGUUCCUUAUGUCCAUACUUAAAAUGGUUUAGCAGAAACAUUUAUUAAGUGGGUGAAAUUGAUUACCAACGCUCUGCUCAAGAAAACAAAAUUGCCAAUUUUCUACAUGGGAACAUGUAAACUUUACAUAAUGCAUUAUUAAUUCGGUUGAGACAUAUUAUCAACCAUCAAUACUUCUCAGUACAACUCGUGUUUGGGAACUAGCCAAACAUUAUACAUUUACGAGUUUUUGGUUGUGUUAUCUAUGUGCAUGUAAGACUGCCACAACGUACUGAAAUGAGGCAUCAUCGUAGAUUAGGCAUUGAUGUUGAACAUCAUCUAUCAUUCAAUAUUUGGAACCCUUGACUGGGGAUAUGUCUACCGCAUGAUUUGCGGACUAUGAUUUUGAUAAGACAGUUUUCCUGCCAUUAGGGGGAGAAAAUAACAUCGUUCCAGAAGAACGAUGAGAAAAUAUCAUUCCAGAAGAAUGAUGAGAAAAGACCGUUCCAGAAGAACGAAGAGAAUUUGUCUUAUUUUGAUUCACGAAACAAACAAUGAGAAAAUGAAAUUGAAAUAAUUGAAUGAUGCAACGAAAGUGAUGAAAUCACAUAUACUUACUGCAAAUGUGCCUACAAGAAUUGAUGUCCCUGUUGGACAAAAUAAUGAGACAGUAAAUGAUUUAUCUAUUGCACGCCUGAAGCGUGGCAGAUUUUUAGACUCAAAAGGUUCAGUUAUUCGAAAGAAGAAUAAUAUGACACUACUGAACUAUUGCAUUCCCGAAGCAUAACUGUUGCAUACCAGAAGCAUGACAGUCGCCGCAUGAAUACACGUCCCAGAUAGGACAAUCCACAGACAUGGGAAUGUUGAUGUCUCAUACAUGAAGCAUAAUAGACAUAUAGGUUCCAAUGACUCAACUCCCGGAAGUGGAGAUUAAAAUCCAAGCUCUAUAACGCUCAAGAGGAGGUUAUGAUCCACAUUCUCUCAAUUAUGACUAUCCUGGAAGAGAUAGCGUCAUGCCCUUGAAGAGGCAAUGGAUAUCCAAAGAAAUGAAAAGUUUUUAUGCAUGCGCGUGCACAUGAGAGUAUGGGAUCACGGAUUGAUGAUAACCAAUGGUAAUUUUGGUUUUUACAAGUAGCUACUAAAUUCAUCAAUAAGCUGUGUUAAUAUUAAGUCACGUUCUUUUGUUCGUCGACAAAAGAAAAAUUAUUGGCCAAAAAUGGAGAAAGGCAAUUCCAUUACAAAUUUUGUAAGAACGUGGGCAAAUGAACCUAUAUAUAUUUGAAUACAAUACAAAUAGCCAAAUGAUGUUAAACCAAGGAGGUUAUAUAUGGGCAUUUGUAAUAUAGUGUAAUACACUUACAUGAUAUGACACAAGGUUGUAAACGAGUUCAUAUGAAUGGAGAAUUAUAUACGAAGGGUUGUGAGUCGCCCACAUUAUAUCUCCAUAAGUAAAUCCCUCAAGUAUACAUGGGAGCAAAUUGCUCUGUAUAAAUUCCAAAGGAAAAUGUGUCAUGAAGUGUAGAAAACCCUUGAAGGAUUCAAAUUGCUUGAAGUAAGCCUCUGAAGGGUAAAACAUAAAAUAUGUACUCAAUACCAAUGGAUGAUAUAAAUUGCCUUAGUGAGUACUAUCAUUAUGAUAUUGUUGCAACAUACUAAAAUCUCUUGCAAGAGUCAAUGACAUUAAAUUAUAACUCUUGAAGAGUUGAUGAUAUUAAAUUGGGACUCCUGAAGAGUCUAGAAAAAUUAUAAAGUGUUGAAGGAAUUAUUGUCUCGAGCUGCAGAUCGAACAAUCUACCAACACGAAUCUUAUCCAUGAUAUUUAUGAUAUUAAAAGAAUCAUAUGGAUUGAAGAUUAUGAGUUGAAUACUCAUAUGAUGAAGACACUAAGAAUAAUCAUUUAUCUUCGUGAGGGUAAAGAUAAAUUAAUAUUUGGUCCAGAAGUACCACAUCUUAGUGAAGUAUAUGCUUUAUUGUAUUUGGCACAUACAUUGAAUGAAAUAAAGCUUAUUUAUUAAUAUCUCCAAGAAAUUACAGAUAUAUACAUACACAUGAGUUAAAACAAACAAACAGGAUGGAGCCUUCACAAAGGUUGCUCAUGUGAAGCCUCAGUACUCGGAAGUACCCCAGAAGGGGGAGGCACUGGAGAUUGCUCAUGUGGCACCCCAGUACUUAGCAAAACACCAGAAGGGGAAGGCAUCAGUUGCUUUCGGAAUCUAGCAACGAACCUCUGGUGAUCACUUUGAAUCCGACUUUCGGAUUCCUGCAGUUGGACGAGCUUUCUUUUCAUGCUCGUAGAGUAACUAUUUGCAAGCACGUGUAACACCCUAUUCUCGUGCUUAAGCCCUCUGAUCUCUUGUUUAAGACUUGCCACUUCCGCCAUCAAUGAUUCAACUUGGCGAGUUUGAGCAAGUAGGCGUUGGCCCAUAUUGGACACAGAGCCAGCACACUGAACAUUGAGAGCCAAGGAAUCUUGAAUGGCCGACUCUUCAGACCGUUCUGAAAGGAUCUUGUUAUCCCUUGGAGUGAGAAGAUUCCUAGCUACCACAGUAGCGGUUAUGUUAUUCUUCAUCACAGAGUCCCCAACCGUAAGAGGACCAUUAGAAGAUAAGAAGGACGGGCGCCAUAUAUUAUCCUGACGCUGCUCGUCUGUAUCACUCAUAAGACUCAAAUCUAAGCAAAUGUUAGAUGGGCAAGUCAUUUUCAGAAAUGAUGAAGGAAAAACAGAGGUCAAAUAAAAUUUCAGAAAUGCAAGAAGGGGAAAUUUCUACAGGCAGCAACUUUCUGAGCAUACCCUUGAACACAAUUGAUGUCUCUAUAAAAGAAGAGGCAGCAGAGCCACUUGUUCAAAGAUCGAUGAGGCACCGCUCUCCGAAUUUCAAAAGCCAGAUUUUCCUGAAUAAAAUUCGUUGGCAUUUUUCAGACGUAAUCUCAGCUUUUCAGAUAUCGCGUGCAACUUUGUCAAAGAUCUCUGACAAAGUUGAAAACGCGUAAAUCUUACUGUUCUAUUUACACCACAGUUGCUGACAAGAGUAAAAGCACAGCACCACCACUUGCUAUUGAGAAAUCUCUAUAUAUGUCGACAUCUGUUCUCCAUAACAAGGCAGACCUGCAACACUGCAAGAAUACCUAACUCUUCCUCAUCUCCGAGAAUGCAUCUUCAACAUAGCAUCUCGAAAUACUUAGUUUUCUUCCUCUCCGAGAAUACCUCUUCAAACAUGUCACACCAGAGCAAGAUUAUCACAUAUCUUCAGGGACCAGAGCAAGAUUAUCUCAUAUCAUGCAAUCUCCCUGUCCUUUCCUUUGUCCAUGUUCUUGCCUGCAAAGACAAGGAUAAGGAAAGCAAUAUGUCGGAACCUCCACUCAAACUCCCGGUAAGGAACCGAUUGCCUGGAACCUUUCCUGAUUGCUUACCUAGUAUUGCUCUCGAGUAGUCAUCUUCAACGGUUGGAGUUGGGUCUCCAGUCACCAAGAAGUGAUGAACCAUCCAAAUGCAAGGGUUUGCAUUCCACUUCUGCACCAGGGGACAAAUCCUACAAGAGAAGAUGCCACAUAUGCAUGGGGGAAAAACCAGGGAAAAUACUACUGAAGCCAGGGGAGCAAGUAAGGAAAGUGAAAAUGAUACAUUGAAGCAUGUGGAGACAAGUGCAAUGAACACGUGUUGAUUCAUCCACAACUAAACCGAAGAACCCUUGUCACGUGAAGCUCCUUAUGGUCCAAUUUCAUUCAAGAUCAAGCUUCGAAGGUCCUUAAAGAAAUUACAAGUCCGAUUCAAGAUUAAGUGUCCACCACACUUGAAUCAAAUCUGCUCCAGAUCAAAGGAGUAAAUUCAGACCUUUGGAUGCAAGUCUAGCAGAAAGUCCUACAACCCAGUUCAAGAAAAAGGCUGUGGAAAGUUAACAAUAAGUAAAGCAACUCUUUUAGCAACUCUUCUUACUAAGAGACUAAAGCAGAACAAUCAACGAUCAACCUAAAUGAUUUGAAAUCAGGGGGAGAUACUCAUCAAGGGGAGCAUCCAAGACAGAUCAAGAUUUUAACGAGUCAAUCGAAGACUUGUGGCCAUCCAAGGGGGAGUGUUGUAAAUAUUACGUGGAUGGUCCACAUGAAUAGUUUGUUACUAUUUAUGCACAUUAUUUUCACUAUUCAUUUGUGGAAAAUUUGUAAAGUGAAUAGUGCUUUCUUUUGUUUAUAUAAAGAAAGAAGAGGGGAUGAAUGAAGAGAGGUUCACGGGAGAGAAAGGAAGGAAAAGAAGAGAGAAGAGAGAGAGAGAGGAAAGAAGAGGAAGAGAGGAAGAAGAGAAAAUGAGGGGGAGAUUAAAGAGAGUUAUCUUUGUACUCCUAUUAUUUUAGAUUAUAAUGAAAGCACCACUGCUGCCCCGAGGACGUACUCCAGUCACACUGACUGUAGAGGAACCUCGUAAAUUUUGUGUCUUGUUUCAUUUAUUCCGCUGCACCCACCGUCGAUUUUACAACAGGAAGUACUUUAAUUUACUUUUUAAAGUCACUAAGCAUGACCUAGCUUAUUCAGUAAGUAGGCUUAGUAGAUAUACUAGUAAUUAGCACAAGAGCAUUGGGAUACUUUAGUAAGAGUGUUAAG